UAAUACGGAGGAUCCAAGCGUUAUCCGGAUUUAUUGGGUUUAAAGGGUGCGUAGGCGGCGUUGUAAGUCAGUGGUGAAAGUUUGCAGCUUAACUGUAAAAUUGCCAUUGAUACUGCAGUGCUUGAGUACAGAUGAGGUGGGCGGAAUGUGUCAUGUAGCGGUGAAAUGCAUAGAUAUGACACAGAACACCGAUUGCGAAGGCAGCUCACUAAACUGUAACUGACGCUGAGGCACGAAAGCGUGGGAUCAAACAGGAUUAGAUACCCUGGUAGUCCACGCCCUAAACGAUGAUUACUCGAUGUUAGCGAUAUACAGUUAGCGUCAAAGCGAGAGCGUUAAGUAAUCCACCUGGGGAGUACGCCGGCAACGGAGAAACUCAAAGGAAUUGACGGGGGCCCGCACAAGCGGAGGAGCAUGUGGUUUAAUUCGAUGAUACGCGAGGAACCUUACCCGGGCUUGAAAGUUAGUGAAUGAUUCAGAAAUGAGUCAGUCCGC
rnacentral:rRNA from 1 species